AAUUUUAAUUCCAUUCCAUUUUUUUCAGAGUUCUCAGCCAUAAUCCUUUGACAACAGUUGAAGAUUCGUAUCUUUAUAAAUUACCAGCGCUGAGAUACUUAGACCUGGGAACAACACAAGUGUCACUUACAACGGUUGAAAGUAUCCUCAUGAUGACCCUUGAAUUGGAAAAGCUGAUCUUGCCUAGCCAUAUGGCCUGCUGCCUCUGCCAAUUUAAAAGUAGCAUUGAAGUUGUCUGCAAGACAGUCAAGCUGCAUUGUGACAGAUGCCUGA